rnacentral:rRNA from 1 species
CACAGAGUUAGCCGAUGCUUAUUCCUCAGAUACCGUCAUUGUUUCUUCUCCGAGAAAAGAAGUUGACGACCCGUAGGCCUUCCACCUCCACGCGGCAUUGCUCCGUCAGGCUUUCGCCCAUUGUUUCGGAAAAUUCCCCACUGCUGCCUCCCGUAGGAGUCUGGGCCGUGUCUCAGUCCCAGUGUGGCUGAUCAUCCUCUCGGACCAGCUACUGAUCAUCGCCUUGGUAAGCUUAUUGCCUCACCAACUAGCUAAUCAGACGCGACGCCCCUCCGUUGGGCGGUAUUUCUUCCUUUUGCCUCCUCAGCCUACGGGGUAUUAGCUAACCGUUUCCAGUUGUUCGUUCCCCUCCAAGGGCUAGGUUCUUACGCGUUACUCACCCGUUCGCCUACUACGGAAACCACCUACCUUCCCCGUUCGACUUGCAUGUAGUUAAGCAUCGCCGCCAGCGUUCAUCCGUGACGCCAAGGACUACAAAACUUCU